AUUGAACGCUGGCGGCAGGCCUAACACAUGCAAGUCGAGCGGAUGAUGGGAGCUUGCUCCUUGAUUCAGCGGCGGACGGGUGAGUAAUGCCUAGGAAUCGGCCUGGUAGUGGGGGACAACGUUUCGAAAGGAACGCUAAUACCGCAUACGUCCUACGGGAGAAAGCAGGGGACCUCCGGGCCUUGCGCUAUCAGAUGAGCCUAGGUCGGAUUAGCUUGUUGGUGAGGUAAUGGCUCACCAAGGCGACGAUCCGUAACUGGUCUGAGAGGAUGAUCAGUCACACUGGAACUGAGACACGGUCCAGACUCCUACGGGAGGCAGCAGUGGGGAAUAUUGGACAAUGGGCGAAAGCCUGAUCCAGCCAUGCCGCGUGUGUGAAGAAGGUCUUCGGAUUGUAAAGCACUUUAAGUUGGGAGGAAGGGUUGUAGAUUAAUACUCUGCAAUUUUGACGUUACCGACAGAAUAAGCACCGGCUAACUCUGUGCCAGCAGCCGCCGUAAGAC
rnacentral:rRNA from 1 species